GAAAAAUUCCCUCAUUUCACCCAUAACUCUUUCUCUCUUCUCUCUCUCUCUCUUCUCUCUCUUCUCUCCACCACCGCCGCCGCCGCCGGAAAUCACCCACCGGCGGCGGACCACCUCCAAAUUAACACCAUAUAAUCUCCACAACCUCCUCUUCCCAUAUCUCCAAACCAAUUCCUUCAAGAAACCUUCAAACUCCUUGAAUUUUAGAUCUAAGAAACUUUAGCCGCCACUUUUUGGUCCAAAUUCUUGAAGCUCCGGCCAACAUCACCCUACAACACAUACAUGAAUGGAUAGAGCUCCACGAGACCUAUCUUUUCCUACCCAUUUUACCCCCAAAAUCCCCGUCGCCGCCACGGCUCCACCGCCGCACCUCCGCCAAAAUGCCCCGAACCCCCAUUUUAGCUAUUUUUCGGUUUCAAGCAUAUUUGUUAGGUAUAAUCGUCAUCUCUUUAAUUAAUUUCUGAUUUUUUUUAUUUAGUAGAUUAGUUUCUGAUUUUUUUAUAUAUAUUUAUUUAUUUAUUUAUUUAUUUAUUCUGUUUUGGUUAUUUCUUGUUAAUUAGAGUUUCAAGUUAGGUUUAUUUAAUUAGCUAUCUCUAUUUAGUUUAGUGGUUUGUUAGAUUCGUUAUUGAUUUAAACAUGAUCUUUAGUGUAUUAGUUAAAUCGUUCACUUAGUUAGUCGAUUAUUUAGUUGUUGUUAGUCGUUAUUCGAUUAUUAACGAUGCCCGUUCUGUUUUGAGAAUUAGUUUGUGAAUUUAGUUAUUUGUUUAGUAAUUAGUUUGCACAAAUCCAAUUCAUUCCCAUCAAGUUGGUUUUAAUACUUAGUUCAAUUACGUUUUUAGUCUCGUCUAUGCUUUGUCAGUUCAUAGUUGUCCAAGUUUGAUUUGUGUUGAGCAAGUAGUUUGUUGUUGAUAUUUAAAAUCUGAAGUUUAGUUUAUUUUAUCACAAAAUAAGGGUAAUAGUAGCUUACUUUUACUAGUGGGGUGGCUGAAAGGACAUUUUUUCUCCUUGCUUCUGACACAGCAGAUUUUCAGGCUGUCCUUUCACCUUUGGGACAGACCUUGAACAGUGUUUAGUACACAAAGUCAGUCUUUUGGACAGAUUUUUGGUGAAACAAAAUCUGUCCAAAAAUCUAACUUUAUUUGCCUAUUGAAAGGGUUGUUUUUCUCCUAUAAAAGGGACUGUCUUACACUUAGAAUGCAGAGUUCCUUACUCACUGAAAAGGGGGACACUCUAUUACACACUCUAUCUUAUACUGAGACACAUCUUGGAGAGUUGCUUAAAGACAUAUAUCUUUGAGAAAAAUCAGCAGCUUAAUACAUAUAACAAGCUGAAAUUUCAGAGUUUUGUGAGGAUUGUUUGAGUGCAAAAACCUUGAGAAAAAUAGAAAGAUCCCUUAGGCAAUUUGUGAAGUUGAUAGCUACUAGUUUCAAGCAUUUUUGUUGAGUUUUCUGGGUUGUCUUAACACUUGAGUUGCUGCUGUUUCUAUUGUAUUUGCUGUUGAGUUUUUUUGUUGCUGCACUGCUGUAUUUUAUUAUUCUACAAACCAGGUAACUUUCAAAUUCUUAUAUUGCAGAUUCUUAAUGAUAAUAAGAAGGAUUUGAUCCCGGUUUGGUUGAUAGAACAUAUUAGAUCUGAUUUUGCUUCAAGAUGAAUGUUAUAUUAGUGUUAUUAUCAUGUAAAUCUGUUAAAGAUUAGUUAAAUUAUUAUUUUUUUCUUUAUAUAUGUGAUUGAAAUUGCAUUAUGUUAAGAUUACUUAGUUUAAGGAAAAGAUAAAGACCCCACUUUUAACCAUGUUUGUUUAGUUUGAGCUCUUUUUCGUGAGUUACUUUCAUGGUUCAUGUAUAAUUAUCUAAGAAAGACUUCUAGCUUUAAAUGUUUUGAUGCUUUGAAUUAUAGUCAACAUAAUGUUAUACUUAAUAUAGUUGUUCUCUUUA
rnacentral:lncRNA from 1 species